CUUACAGUUUCAUUCCACGACUAGCCCUUCCCGACCUGCCCAACAAUUUCCUCUUAAAGAGGUGGCUGGAGCUAAAGGCACAGUCAAGGUUAAUGCUCCUUUUUCUUUAUCCGACCUCUCCCAAAUCAGUUAGUGUUUAGGCUCUUUUUCAUCAAAUAUAAAACUCAACCCAGUUCAUGGCCCAUUUGGCAACAACCCUUAGAUGCUUUACCACCCUAGACCCAGAAGGGCCAGAAGGCCGUCUUAUUCUCAGUAUGCAUUUUAUUACCCAAUCCACUCCCGACAUUAAAUAAAGCUCCAAAAAUUAGAUUCCGGCCCUCAAACCCCAUAACAGGACUUAACUAACCUCACCUUCAAGAUGUACAAUAAUAGAGUAGAGGCAGCCAAGUAGCAACAUAUUUCUGAGUUGCAAUUCCUUGCCUCCACCGUGAGAGAAACCCCAGCCACAUCUCCAGCACACAAGAACUUCAAAAUGCCUAAGCCACAGUGGUCAAGCAUUCCUUCAGGACCUCCUCCCCCAGGAUCUUACUUCAGUGCUGGAAAUCUGGCCACUGGGCCAAGGAAUGCCCACAGCCUGGGAUACCUCCUAAGCCGUGUCCCAUCUAUGCGGGACCCCACUGGAAAUCAGACUGUCCAACUCGCCCAGCAGCCACUCCCAGAGCCCCUGGAACUCUGGCCCAAGGCUCUCUGACUGACUCCUUCCCAGAUCUUCUUGGCUUAGCGGCUGAAGACUGACGCUGCACCAUCACCUCAGAAGCCUCCUGGACCAUCACAGAUGCUUUUGGCAACUCUUACAGUGGAAGACAGGACUAUCAGGCCUCUGAGCCCAAGCUAAGCCAUCAUAUCCCCUGUGACCUGCACGUAUACAUCCAGAUGGCCUGAAGGAAGUGAAGAAUCACAAAAGAAGUGAAAAUGGCCGGUUUCUGCCUUAACUGAUGACAUUCCACCAUUGCGACUUGUUUCUGCCCCAUCUUAACUGAGCGAUUAACCUUGUGAAAUUCCUUCUCCUGGCUCAGAAGCUCCCCCACUGAGCAACUUGUGACACACGCCCCUGCUCAUAAGAGAAAACCCCCUUUAACUGUAAUUUUUGACUACCCACCCAAAUCCUAUAAAACGGC
rnacentral:lncRNA from 10 species